rnacentral:lncRNA from 1 species
GACCCACUGACCCGCAAAAGCGAAAAUAUAGAACUUCACAGCAGGGACACAUUUUGAUAAAAUUAAACGAAAUGUGUAGUCUCUGUGCGUCUAUGGAGAAACCUGAAAUGGAAACGGAGUGGGAGAGUACACGUGGUUAUGAGACAACUUUCAGUAGAUUCAAUUAUACUUCAAGCUUGAUGCUGUUAUGUUUUCUGUUUCCAACUGUGACAGAACCUAGAACAGAAAUGAAGUGUGUGACAAUAAUUCAUAGACAAAUUUAGACUAAUACUCUUUCAUGGAUGCUAAAUUUGGUAGAUCUAGCCAUAAAUGUUUUAUUAUAAUUCAAAGUGGUAUAUAGUUAUAUUUAUAAUAAUUCAUUGUUUGAAUUUGUUUUUAUAAAGCACUUUAUUGAACUAAAAUAAUCAUAGCUGCAUUUAGUAAAUUAUUUAGCACACGUGUGACUGCUGUCUCAUGCCUUAAGUGUUUCAGCUGCUAAAAUAUGUUUUGGGGAUAUUUUUUCUGGAUAGAAAUUUACCUUUCUGAUAUUGUACGAGUGUUUGGACAUUCCUUUCAAAGGUGAAAUAUGGCUACUUAUAUUGCUUUGUUUCUAAUAAUGAUAUUGAAUGUGUAAAGUAUGUAAAUAUUUUUGUAAGAAAUUGAUUAAACAUAUUGGCCAAUCAUUGGCAUUCGUCGUGUGAUAAGUUUUUACUGGUUUGAGUUAAAAGACUGGUACAUAUGAUAAGUUUUAUUGCAUCUUUUAUUGAAAUCUUCAAGUAUUCAAUAUUAUUAUGAGUCUAGGUAAAAAAAAAUAAAAUAUUUUGAAACAAGAAGCUUAUUUUUUUAUGUAACGUGUAUCCACUUUCCAUCUGCGAUCUAAACCUUUAUGUUUUCCUUUUUAUUAUUGGUCUGGAUGUACAUUAUUGUAUCAGCGUAAAUAAAUGUGAACUGAAAAUGUUA